UUUAAAUUUAGAGUUUGAUCCUGGCUCAGGACGAACGCUGGCGGCGUGCUUAACACAUGCAAGUCGAGCGAUGAAGCUUCCUUCGGGAAGUGGAUUAGCGGCGGACGGGUGAGUAACACGUGGGUAACCUGCCUCAAAGUGGGGGAUAGCCUUCCGAAAGGAAGAUUAAUACCGCAUAAUAUAAGAGAAUCGCAUGAUUUUCUUAUCAAAGAUUUAUUGCUUUGAGAUGGACCCGCGGCGCAUUAGCUAGUUGGUAAGGUAACGGCUUACCAAGGCAACGAUGCGUAGCCGACCUGAGAGGGUGAUCGGCCACAUUGGAACUGAGACACGGUCCAGACUCCUACG
rnacentral:rRNA from 1 species